rnacentral:rRNA from 1 species
UACGUAGGCAGCAAGCGUUGUUCGGAAUUACUGGGCGUAAAGAGUGUGUAGGCGGUGCUCUAAGUCUGUUGUGAAAUCUCCCGGCUUAACUGGGAGGGUGCAGCGGAAACUGGAAUGCUCGAGUAUGGGAGAGGUAAGCGGAAUUCCUGGUGUAGCGGUGAAAUGCGUAGAUAUCGGGAGGAACAUCAGUGGCGAAGGCGGCUAUCUGGACCAACACUGACACUGAGGCACGAAAGCGUGGGUAGCAAACAGG